rnacentral:tRNA from 1 species
GGGCUGGUGAUAUAGCUCAGUUGUAGAGUGCCUGCCUUGCAUGCACAAGGCCCUGGGUUCAAUCCCCAGCAGCCCA